UGCAAGUCGAGCGGUAGAGAGAAGCUUGCUUCUCUUGAGAGCGGCGGACGGGUGAGUAAUGCCUAGGAAUCUGCCUGGUAGUGGGGGAUAACGUUCGGAAACGGACGCUAAUACCGCAUACGUCCUACGGGAGAAAGCAGGGGACCUUCGGGCCUUGCGCUAUCAGAUGAGCCUAGGUCGGAUUAGCUAGUUGGUGAGGUAAUGGCUCACCAAGGCGACGAUCCGUAACUGGUCUGAGAGGAUGAUCAGUCACACUGGAACUGAGACACGGUCCAGACUCCUACGGGAGGCAGCAGUGGGGAAUAUUGGACAAUGGGCGAAAGCCUGAUCCAGCCAUGCCGCGUGUGUGAAGAAGGUCUUCGGAUUGUAAAGCACUUUAAGUUGGGAGGAAGGGCAGUAAAUUAAUACUUUGCUGUUUUGACGUUACCGACAGAAUAAGCACCGGCUAACUCUGUGCCAGCAGCCGCGGUAAU
rnacentral:rRNA from 1 species